GAUGAAGAACGCAGCGAAAUGCGAUAAGUAAUGUGAAUUGCAGAAUUCAGUGAAUCAUCGAAUCUUUGAACGCACAUUGCGCCCGCCAGCAUUCUGGCGGGCAUGCCUGUUCGAGCGUCAUUUCAACCCUCGAGCCCCCCCCGGGGGCCUCGGUGUUGGGGACGGCACACCAGCCGCCCCCGAAAUGCAGUGGCGACCCCGCCGCAGCCUCCCCUGCGUAGUAGCACACACCUCGCACCGGAGCGCGGAGGCGGUCACGCCGUAAAACGCCCAACUUUCUUAGAGUUGACCUCGGAUCAGGUAGGAAUACCCGCUGAACUUGAGCAUAUCAAUAAGCGGAGGA
rnacentral:misc_RNA from 1 species